UACGUAGGGUGCAAGCGUUAAUCGGAAUUACUGGGCGUAAAGCGUGCGCAGGCGGUUCUAUAAGACAGAUGUGAAAUCCCCGGGCUUAACCUGGGAACUGCGUUUGAAACUGAGGAGCUCGAGUGUGGAAGAGGGGGGUGGAAUUCCAGGUGUAGCAGUGAAAUGCGUAGAGAUCUGGAGGAACACCGAUGGCGAAGGCAGCCCCCUGGGCUAACACUGACGCUCAUGCACGAAAGCGUGGGGAGCAAACAGG
rnacentral:rRNA from 1 species